UACGUAGGGGGCGAGCGUUGUUCGGAAUUACUGGGCGUAAAGGGUGCGUAGGCGGCGCGGUAAGUCGGGUGUGAAAUCUCGGAGCUUAACUCCGAAACUGCAUUCGAUACUGCCGUGCUUGAGGACUGGAGAGGAGACUGGAAUUUACGGUGUAGCGGUGAAAUGCGUAGAUAUCGUAAGGAAGACCAGUGGCGAAGGCGGGUCUCUGGACAGUUCCUGACGCUGAGGCACGAAGGCCAGGGGAGCAAACGGG
rnacentral:rRNA from 1 species